AUGCAUCCUUACUUGUUUGGGAGUGUGGAACAAACUUACACCAUCUGUUGGUGAAAAUGGCCGUUAUUUAUUGACCAACGGAUCUCCAUUCUAUUGGGUGAACUGUCUGUUGGUUCAUAUAACCCAACCGAAAUGGCCUCCCAAGUUGUUGGGAUAGACUUACAACAUUAUUAUGUGAGACUAAAAUCUAUAAGUAAUAUAAUAAUAAUCAAAGCACUUAUUAUUAGCGUUCUUAUGCAAAGGUAUCGCAACGCUUUACAUUAAUGUAUUAUAAUGAUUGUGGUAAUUACAUUUUAUAGUGCGGCCACGAUAACUUGGAUGUGUUCCAAAAAAUAAGUAAAUAUCUUCUCUACGAGAUGGGAAAAUCUCGAAUUUUUGCACUUUUUAAGUGUUUUUUUUAACCAUCAGAUUGGGAGACUGCAGUGGAAAAUUCCAAUGCCAUCACACAGCGUGCCAAACAAAGCGCGCGACGCGCUUUGCCGCCGACUAGCUGGUGUUAAAAAUAAAAGCAAAGCCGUACGUAUAUUAUGUACUUGUGUAGCACUAGUAGAAUGGAGGCGGUCAUGGUGGACAAGUCAGUUGGUGAGUUACUAGAAUCAUGGGGAGUAGGACAUCUGUUGAAUGUUUUUGAAGAGAAUCAGAUAGACAAAGCAGCUUUGGAGUUGCUUGACGAGGCAUCAAUACAAGAACUGAUACCAAAGAUUGGCACCCGACUCAAAUUUCUAAGAGGUUGGAGAUCGGAAUUGAGAAGAAUAAUUUAGCACUUCUAGUUCUGCCGGUACUACUUGGAGGAAGGGCUAAAGGCAAGUCUGGUGGACGGUGUGCUUUAGCACAGAGCUUGACAUCUUUCAUCCACCUCAAACCGGCUACAACCAACAUCGAGCAGUAUCUGGGGAACAUCAGUGAGAAGGACAAACCACAGCCCUACAUACUUGGCCUCUUUACUGGGAACAAGUUGCUGCCAAGCCAGACAUUUGUGGUAAUUGAAAGGCGUGCAGUGGAGUCUUCUUCAUUGCUUGAUGCAGUAGACAUUGCUUUUAAGGCGCAUUAUGUGCUAAAUCUCAGUUAUCAAGUGUCUGUUAAGGCAGUCUGGGAAUUUUUGCAGUGUGUUGUUUACAACCUGCCAGGAACCGCUCGCCCAGCAGUGCGCGAUAUCAGAGCUUUUCUGAUGAAUCACACAAAAAAUUCUGCUCAAAAGUAAUGAAAAGCACUUCUUUGGUUUUCAAAGACUAAUGGACGCCAAAUUUCUGUAAUUUUCAAGUUCCUUGUUCUCUAAAAAUGUUCAGUUAUCUCAGGAAUAAUUUAUCAGGCUGAUUUAAAUCUAAACGUUUACCAACUUCAGUAGUCUGAUGUUUUCAAUCAGUUUUUUUUUUAAGAUUCAGGAUCAUUUAAGUUUCAGGAUCUCAUGACAAAUAUAUAAGUUAAAUUCAUUACAAGUUUGUUUUCAUUUUUUGUUUUUUAUACAUCAGUUUAAAAAAAUAAUGGACCCCAAAUUUCUGUAAUCUUGUUCUCCAAAAAUGUUACUGGUUCUAUAAAGAUGGGUAUGAUGUCGCAAAAGUUGGAUUGCUCAUAUAAGCUUCAAUUUGGUAUUAUACAAAUAACAUUGUUUGGAGGAUUGUUAGAUGAUAUUAGUUCCCCAAGGAAGUUGACAAACUACCAAGUACUUCAUCAACUUCCAACCCAUAAAAACAUGUUAUUAUUAUUUUAUUAUACCUCAUACAUAUUCAGUGACAAUAACAACGUCGUGUUUAUCACUACUGGUUCGAACAUUCUUUAGCAAAACAACAUUGUAAAAACUCAUCCAAUUCAGUCACUGUAUACUGCUCCACAACUUUCACUUCAGUAUUUGUUUAAUACCAAAGUAGUGCAAGCUAACUUGAAUUACUUUUUGAAAUGAUAAAGCAUCUUUAUUAUCCUAGUAAGCCUAUUUCCAUAAUUUAUAACAAAAUGCUUGGAAAAUGCUUUUUUUUGCAAGUGUACAUGGCCAAAAACACUAGCAUUACUUCCUUUAGAGGAUAUGAUAGUCUUUACAGUAUGAGCAUGCGCACUUGCCACAUCCAAUCUUUUUCACAAAUAUUAAAUCAUCUCAGGAAUAAUUUAUCAGAAUGAUUUAAAUUUAAAGUUUUACAAACUUCAAUAAUCUGCUGCAAUUAGUUUGUUUCUGAUGAUGUACCAAUCAUUUGAGUGUAAGGAUCUCAUACCAGUAUAAUAGUUAAUUGUUGUCAUGUUUAUCAAAAGAGUGUAUCAUUAUAGUUUGUUUAAAAGGCAGAUUUUCUGUGCUAGCAAAGUAAGUGAGAAAUCCUUCAUUACCUGAAGUGUGUACACGCACAAGUAGAAUAGUCUUUGCUAACCCAUAAUUAUGCUUACACAGGCAUAGAAUAUUCGUCUAGUGUAAUUGCCAGUAUUUUGAUUAAUGACGGUAAGCAGUGUCAUUAAAUUGGGCUCUGUCUUCACAGUUAAUCUAAUCGAUGGCAUAAGAUUCCUC